GCCUCCCCAUACCAAGGAAGAGGAGAACCUGUGGACCCAUCAGGAGGGAGAAGAGCUUCAAGGGCUAGAGGAGGCUGAUAUCACUAAGUUCCCAUCCAUUCCACCUCGUGUGAAGAGUGAAUAUGGUGAAGACAAAGCUCAGUCCUCACAGCUUCAUCAAAGUCAAACUGAGGAGACAACAGAGGAACCAGAAGACAGAGAUGACUAUGGAGAAUCAGAACCAGACAGCAUCCAAAAUAAUGACUUCCCUAUAUGUGAUGUGGCAUGUAAAACAACAUAUCAUCAAUGCACUGAGGAUGAUAAAACAUGUAAGUUUUGCUCAGUGUUGGACACACAGAUGACAGCCCACACAACAAAGAAGCCUUUCAGCUAUUCAGUUUGUAUGAAACAUUUUGCAUAUAAACAUAAUCUUAAAAGACAUCAUAAUGAUUUCUGAUAUUGUUUUGUAUUCUGCAAGUUUUUUUUGUUUUCUCAAAAAGUGCAUUUUCAGAUACGUGGGUUUCAUCUUCAGCCAUGGUGUCAUUUUACUGAUUUUUAAUUCAGUGUUUUUAAAGCCUCACCUUUACUUAUUCAUUCAUUUACAUGUACCUUUUUCUAAAAUAAUGUUAACCACAAAGUCUCCUAUAUGUGAUGCUCUGUUUAAGAUAUACUAUUACUUUUCAGUGUGUGUGCUUGGCCUUUGCAUUAUCACCUAAUGAUGUCUCCGCAUUCCAUUAGGAUCACUUUCAACACCAAAAAUAAGUAAAUAAACCUUGAUGCAACCUCGA